UACGGAGGAUCCAAGCGUUAUCCGGAAUCAUUGGGUUUAAAGGGUCCGUAGGCGGUUUAAUAAGUCAGUGGUGAAAGCCCAUCGCUCAACGGUGGAACGGCCAUUGAUACUGUUAGACUUGAAUUAUUAGGAAGUAACUAGAAUAUGUAGUGUAGCGGUGAAAUGCUUAGAGAUUACAUGGAAUACCAAUUGCGAAGGCAGGUUACUACUAAUGGAAUUGACGCUGAUGGACGAAAGCGUGGGUAGCGAACAGG
rnacentral:rRNA from 1 species